rnacentral:rRNA from 1 species
GGCGAACGAAAAUGGAUUAGGCUAAAAUAUUAUAUUUAUUAAAUUAUAAUGAUAGAAAAGGUGUUAUAUACCUGUGUAAUUUUAAUAAAUAUUUUAAAUUUUGAGUAAAACGAAUUAGGUGUAAUUUUGUUUGAAUAUAAGGGAACCAUCCUUUAAGCCUAAAAAUAGUAAAUAAUCAAUAGUGAACUAGUACUGUAAAGGAAAGGUGAAAUAGAAUUUACGAAAUUGAAAUAGAUCUUGAAAUUUAAUGCUCAUUUAGCAAUUGGAGCUUUUAAUGAAAAAGUGACAAUGUACCUUUUGUAUAAUGGGCCAGUAAGUUUAUUUAUAUAGCAAGUUUAAGUUGAUAAAUGUAAACGUUGUGAAAGCAUAAAAUAUUAAAUGUAUUUAUUAGUUAUAUAAAUAAGACCCGAAACCGAGUGAUCUAAUUAUGAACAAGUUGAAAAAAUAUUAAGUUAUUUUUGAGGACUGAACUCGUGUCUGUUGCAUAAGACUGGGAUGAUUUGUGAUUAGGGGUGAAAGGCUAAUCAAACUCGGAGAUAGCUGGUUUUCUGCGAAAUCUAUUUACGUAAAGUGCUAAUAUAUUAAUUUUUUGGGGUAGAGAUAUCGAUAAAAGAGGGUUGCCCAUAAAGCUUUACCAAUUUUAAGGAAACUUCGAAUACAAAAAAUUUUAUUAGUAAUCGGACUUAUAAUGCUAAGGUUGUAGGUCGAGAGGGAAACAGCCCAGAUUGUUUAUUAAGGUCUUUAAAUUAUUAAAUUUCUUAUAAGAAAAGAGUUUUUAAAUAAAAAUAACUAAGAGUUAGGUUCAGAAGCAGCCAUUCUUUAAAGAAAGCGUAAAAGCUCAUUAGUUCAAUUUAAAGAUUCUAACGAUGUAUAGAGAUUAAAGAAAUAUACCGAAAUAGCAAAUAUGAAUUUGAUUUAUAUGGUAGCAGAACGUUCUGUAUGCAAAAAGAUAAAUUGAUAAAUUUAUUAAUGUAUCAGAAGUGAUAAUACUGGCAUAAGUAAUAUAAAUAAUAUUAAAUUUGGUAAUUAAAUAUUAUCGUCGAAAAUUCAAGGUUUUUAAUAUAUAUUUGUUAAACAAUAUUAAGUAAUACGGCCUCUAAAUUGAAAGUGAAAACUUUAUUUGAUGAGUAAUAUAUAAAAUUAACAUUUAUUAACUUUUAAAUACAAAAGUUAAUGGAUUUCAAAAAGAAUUUUAUAAUAAACCGUACUAAAAACCAACACAGGUGAAUGGGUAGAGUAUACUAAGACGAUAAAGUGAAUCAUAGUGAAGGAACUCGGCAAAUUAACCUUGUAACUUCGGAAGAAAAGGUUUUAUUAAAGUAUUUGAAUUUAAUAAAGUAACAGAAAAGAGGGUAGCGACUGUUUAAUAAAAACACAGGACUUUGCUAAAUCGUAAGAUGAUGUAUAAGGUCUGACACCUGCCAGGAACUGUGUAGUUAAAUUUAAAGAUUAUUUAUUUUUAAUAUAAACAGCAGUAAUCGGCGGCCAUACUCUGAUGGUCCUAAGGUAGCGAAAUUCCUUGUCAACUAAUUAUUGACGUGCAUGAAUGGUGUAACGACUUCCCUACUGUCUCCACUAUGAGCUUUGUGAAAUUGAAAUAUUCGUGAAGAUGCGAAUUAUAUAUGGUUAGACGGUAAGACCCCGUGCACCUUUACUACAAUCUUUUAUUGAUUAUUUUUGUAAAAUUGUGUAGAAUAAAUGGGAGUUUAAAUUUAGUUUUAGACGAAAUGUGAAAUACCAUUCGUUUUAUUUAAAAUAGCUAAUUUUAAUUAAUAAAAAAUUAAAAGACAUUUAUAAGAUUGGUAGUUUAACUGGGGUGGUUUUCUCCUAAAAGGUAACGGAGAAAUAUAAAGGUAAAUUAAUAAUUAUUGUUGUAAUAAUUAUUUAUGUAUAAUGGCUAAAAUUUGCUUAACUGUAAGAUUGACAAAUCAUGCAGAAACUUUUGUUUAAAACAUAAGUUGAUCAUAGUGACCCGGUAGUUCUUUAUGGAAAGGCUAUCGAUCAAUGGA